UCCCGCCGAGAGCCAGAGUGCAAAUCUGGAGGAGCACCCCUAAAGGGUGCCGGGGCUUCUCCCGUUUUAAGCGAGACGGGAGAAGA
rnacentral:tRNA from 1 species